rnacentral:lncRNA from 1 species
UGAGCAUAUGAAGUUAUACUAAAAUUUUCCAUGAGCAAUGUGAGCUUUAGCAGAUGUAUGGAAGCAAGUCUCAACAUUUUUGAUGUUCUAAUUAAGUACUUGAAACAUUAGGACCUUUCUUUUUGUAUAAUACUCAGUCCAUUCCACAAAAAUAGCCCCAUUUGCAAAACAAAAAAACAAAAAAAAUUUCCACAAAAAGAGUCCUCCUUUUGUUGAUGCUACGAGAAAUCGAGGCGAUGUCCUUAAGUUUAACAUCAUAGUUUCACUACCAUGAAACCACUUCUAAACUAAAAACUCAUUAUAUUAAGGAUAAACAUGGAGGAAUAAUUAUAUCCCAAGUUUGCAAGUUUUGCAAAUGGGACUCCUUUUGUGGAACGGAGGGAGUAAUUGUUUGAUUUUAAACCUUGUGCAAAGAAAGCUUCCUUGACUGUCUAAGGUGAUCUCUGGAAACCCCUUAUCGUGGACAUAUGAGUAUGCUGCAUAUUGGCUGAAAUACAGGACCUGGAAUCGUUUAUUAUCUUGCGGCUUAUAGUAUCCCCUAGUGCCUAGGGUCAGGGCUCAAUCGUUUGAGAAUUGCAG